AUUGAACGCUGGCGGCAUGCUUUACACAUGCAAGUCGAACGGCAGCACGGGCUUCGGCCUGGUGGCGAGUGGCGAACGGGUGAGUAAUGCAUCGGAACGUGCCAUUGAGUGGGGGAUAACGUAGCGAAAGUUGCGCUAAUACCGCAUAUUCUGUGAGCAGGAAAGCAGGGGACCGCAAGGCCUUGCGCUCUUUGAGCGGCCGAUGUCAGAUUAGCUAGUUGGUGAGGUAACGGCUUACCAAGGCGACGAUCUGUAGCGGGUCUGAGAGGAUGAUCCGCCACACUGGAACUGAGACACGGUCCAGACUCCUACGGGAGGCAGCAGUGGGGAAUUUUGGACAAUGGGCGCAAGCCUGAUCCAGCCAUGCCGCGUGAGUGAAGAAGGCCUCGGUUGGUU
rnacentral:rRNA from 1 species